rnacentral:rRNA from 1 species
UCGGGAAUUUUGGGCAAUGGGCGAAAGCCUGACCCAGCAACGCCGCGUGAAGGAUGAAGUAUUUCGGUAUGUAAACUUCGAAAGAAUAGGAAGAAUAAAUGACGGUACUAUUUAUAAGGUCCGGCUAACUACGUGCCAGCAGCCGCGGUAAUACGUAGGGACCAAGCGUUGUUCGGAUUUACUGGGCGUAAAGGGCGCGUAGGCGGCAAUUCAAGUCAUCUGUGAAAUCUCCGGGCUUAACUCGGAACGGUCAGAUGAUACUGCUUUGCUAGAGUGCAGAAGGGGCAAUCGGAAUUCUUGGUGUAGCGGUGAAAUGCGUAGAUAUCAAGAGGAACACCUGAGGUGAAGACGGGUUGCUGGGCUGACACUGACGCUGAGGCGCGAAAGCGUGGGUAGCAAACAGGAUUAGAUACCCGAGUAGUCCCUGAGCGGGCUGGCAAGGCGCAU